UACGUAGGGUGCGAGCGUUAAUCGGAAUUACUGGGCGUAAAGCGUGCGCAGGCGGUUUUGUAAGCCAGAUGUGAAAUCCCCGGGCUUAACCUGGGAAUGGCAUUUGGGACUGCAAGGCUCGAGUGCGGCAGAGGGAGACUGGAAUUCCUGGUGUAGCAGUGAAAUGCGCAGAUAUCAGGAAGAACACCAAUGGCGAAGGCAGCUCUCUGGGACGGUACUGACACUGAGACGCGAAAGCGUGGGGAGCGAACAGG
rnacentral:rRNA from 1 species